UACGAAGGGUGCAAGCGUUACUCGGAAUUACUGGGCGUAAAGCGUGCGUAGGUGGUUUGUUAAGUCUGAUGUGAAAGCCCUGGGCUCAACCUGGGAAUGGCAUUGGAUACUGGCAGUCUAGAGUGCGGUAGAGGGUAGCGGAAUUCCCGGUGUAGCAGUGAAAUGCGUAGAUAUCGGGAGGAACAACCGUGGCGAAGGCGGCUACCUGGACCAGCACUGACACUGAGGCACGAAAGCGUGGGGAGCAAACAGG
rnacentral:rRNA from 1 species